rnacentral:rRNA from 1 species
CCUACGUGUGGCAGCAGUGAGGAAUAUUGGUCAAUGGGCGGAAGCCUGAACCAGCCAAGUAGCGUGCAGGAUGAUGGCCCUACGGGUUGUAAACUGCUUUUAUACGGGAAUAACGCGCCUUACGUGUAGGGCUUUGCAUGUACCGUAUGAAUAAGGACCGGCUAAUUCCGUGCCAGCAGCCGCGGUAAUACGGAAGGUCCGGGCGUUACCCGGAUUUAUUGGGUUUAAAGGGAGCGUAGGCCGGAUGUCAAGUGUGGUGUGAAAUGUCCGGGCUCAACCCGGGCCUUGCAGCGCGAACUGGCGGGCUUGAGUCCGCGGAAGGCAGGCGGAAUGCGUCGUGUAGCGGUGAAAUGCUUAGAUAUGGCGAAGAACCCCGAUUGCGAAGGCAGCUUGCUGCAGCGGAACUGACGCUGAUGCUCGAAAGCGCGGGUAUCGAACAGGAUUAGAUACCCCUGUAGUC